ensembl:rRNA 5S_rRNA 5S ribosomal RNA
GCCAGCAGCCAUGUCACCCUGCAACUUAUAAUUGGCAACCCACUGAAGCUAAGCAGGUGUGAGCCUGGUCAGUACCUGGAUGGGAGACCUCCUUGGGAAAAACUAAGGUUGCUGCUGGAA